rnacentral:rRNA from 1 species
AAAUUGAAGAGUUUGAUCAUGGCUCAGAUUGAACGCUGGCGGCAGGCCUAACACAUGCAAGUCGAACGGUAACAGGAAACAGCUUGCUGUUUCGCUGACGAGUGGCGGACGGGUGAGUAAUGUCUGGGAAACUGCCUGAUGGAGGGGGAUAACUACUGGAAACGGUAGCUAAUACCGCAUAACGUCGCAAGACCAAAGAGGGGGACCUUCGGGCCUCUUGCCAUCGGAUGUGCCCAGAUGGGAUUAGCUAGUAGGUGGGGUAACAGCUCACCUAGGCGACGAUCCCUAGCUGGUCUGAGAGGAUGACCAGCCACACUGGAACUGAGACACGGUCCAGACUCCUACGGGAGGCAGCAGUGGGGAAUAUUGCACAAUGGGCGCAAGCCUGAUGCAGCCAUGCCGCGUGUAUGAAGAAGGCCUUCGGGUUGUAAAGUACUUUCAGCGGGGAGGAAGGGAGUAAAGUUAAUACCUUUGCUCAUUGACGUUACCCGCAGAAGAAGCACCGGCUAACUCCGUGCCAGCAGCCGCGGUAAUACGGAGGGUGCAAGCGUUAAUCGGAAUUACUGGGCGUAAAGCGCACGCAGGCGGUUUGUUAAGUCAGAUGUGAAAUCCCCGGGCUCAACCUGGGAACUGCAUCUGAUACUGGCAAGCUUGAGUCUCGUAGAGGGG